AAUUAAAAUAAGUAUGAACUAAAGAAAUUUCUAACUUCUAAAAUUAUGGUUAAAAUCCAUUUUUAUUU
rnacentral:tRNA from 2 species